UUACAGACAGACACAUACACUUACAGACACAGACACACACAUACACUUACAGACACAGACACACACAUACACUUACAGACACACACACAUACACUUACAGACACACACACAUACACUUACAGACACACACACAUACACUUACAGACACACACACAUACACUUAGAGACAAACACAUGUACACACAAAUUAUUAAUAUUAAAUAUCCACCCAGCCUCCCUACCUGGAGAGCUGGUGUGGAUC